GAUCCUGCUCAGGAUGAACGCUGGCGGCGUGCCUAACACAUGCAAGUCGAACGAAGCAAUUAAAGGAAGUUUUCGGAUGGAAUUUGAUUGACUGAGUGGCGGACGGGUGAGUAACGCGUGGAUAACCUGCCUCACACUGGGGGAUAACAGUUAGAAAUGACUGCUAAUACCGCAUAAGCGCACAGUACCGCAUGGUACGGUGUGAAAAACUCCGGUGGUGUGAGAUGGAUCCGCGU
rnacentral:rRNA from 1 species